AUGAGUUACUUGAACCGUGUUUGGAUGGCAACAACCGUGGCGGUGGCACAAGGCCACACUGAUCCGGGCCACAAGUGCAAAAAGGCUCUCGAAUCUAUUCACCAAAACCGCACACGUCUCUUCUCCGCCGGUAGUUUGUUCAAUCUCCGGCCGUUAGCCAGCGUCGUUGAAUCGGACGUACGUGUGAGUUCUGGGGCGGAAGAGAGGCUGAGACAAACCGAUGAUUCUCUCCGGAAAGUGAUGUACAUGAACUGCUGGGGGCAAGGCUAA